UGUGACAUAAAGCCACAGAACAUACUUCUCGAUGAUUAUUACACUCCUCGGAUUUCUGAUUUUGGAUUGGCAAAACUUUUGAUGAUGAAUCAGAGCCAGACUCAUACUGCUAUCCGAGGAACAAAAGGUUAUGUUGCACCUGAGUGGUUCAGGAACUUGCCAAUCACUACCAAAGUUGAUGUGUACAGCUUUGGUGUUGUGCUGCUGGAGAUUAUUUGUUGUAGGAGAAAUGUUGACGUGGAAGGUAACUUGGAAGAGAGAGCAAUUUUAACGGAUUGGGUUUAUGAUUGCUACGUUGAAGGAGUAUUAGAUGCUGUUGUAGAUCAUGAAGUUGAGGCAUUGGGUGAUCGAGCGACACUGGAAAAGUUUGUGAUGGUUGGGAUUUGGUGCAUUCAGGAAGAUCCUUCUCUUAGGCCUACUAUGAGGAGGGUUGUGCAGAUGUUUGAAGCAGUUGUCGAAGUGCAUGUUCCACCAUGUCCAUCUCCAUAUACCAGAGCAGGCUGAAGCCGCCAUUAGUUGUAUCGCAGCCAAGGUAUAAUUUAUUGUCACAGUAGUAGCUAGCUUGUUUCCUGUUUGUCAAACUAUCUUUAGUUUACCGACUUGUAGUUUUGUAGUGUGAUGAUUUAGAUCAGAACCGUUGAAAGAAUGCUUUAUGUAUGUAACUCUUGUUUAUGAUCUUUUAUGAAUGAUAAAGUGAUUCUUAUAUCUACACUUUGAUUUGGUUUUGCUGCUACCAAUUUGCUUAUACUCUACGCAAGAAGACGACACUUGCUUCAUUGGAAUCCUCCUAAGAACAAAUGAGUAGAGGCCAUCAAUUAGACAUCAAAAAAAAAAAAAAAAUUUUAACGAAAAGUACGCAGUACUGUUCAAUUUAACAAAAAAAAUCAUAUUUUUACACUUAAAAGUCAAAUAUGGUACUAUUCACUUUAUCUUUUAUUUUAUCCUUAUAGUUAAAACUCAAAAUUUUCAAACUCUUUUUAUUAGUUUUUCUAAAAAAUAAGUCACAAGUGAAACACCUCGAAUCUUCUCCCUUCUUCCCCAACACAACGAACCCUGGAUCUGCAACAACCAAGGCUACCGGCCCAUUGCUCCGGCUUGAGGUCGGUGGCCGCCUUUGUUCUUCCUCUACCUAGCCUAUCUCUAAUUCUCUGCCACUCCACCCCCUCCUAGCCACCCCUCUUCGUUUUCCCUCCACCGCGCCUCUGGCGCCCCUUUUCCGUGCCUUUUCUCACCUCUAUCAGUGCUCUAAGCGCCUGUUCUCCCCACCGUUUUAUAGGCAACCAUUUUUUCAUGGCUUUGUUUGAGCCUCCUCCCCAAAAUCGAGAUCUUCCUUCCUUCCAAGGGAUUUUCACUUGAAUUGGGGCUUGAUACGUGGCUUUGGGUUGGUUGGUUUCUUGGUUGUUACGGGUCAGAUCCACCUUCUUUGGCUUUAUUUUCAGGGUGGAGUUCUCUGUAAGCAGUUUGUGGUGGUGCCGCCUUACCUGGCCAGAUCUGUGGCUUCUCCACUUGCUUGGCUAGCGGUUGCCGCAGAUCUCCCUAGAUGCAAGUCUUGGUGGUCUUGGCUAGAGUUUCCUAAUUCUCAGUGUGGAGAUGAGCAAUUGGUGGAUUCCGUUCUCAAAGUAGGGUAGGUUUACUGUAGGGUUGUUGUUUGUACCGCAACUAGGGGUACUAGGGGUAAUGUGUCGCCUAGCGAGUAUGUAACCUCGUUUAUCAACGAUGAUUUGAUGUGGUCUUCCCACUACUAAUUAAACCAGGUGUGCAAUCCGUAAGUGUGAUUUUUAUAUAAUAUUAAGGCCUCAAAGCAAUUAGUAGUUGAAUGUGGAAAGCCGGAAGAAGAACGAACCCCUUCUUUGUUGGUUUAGACAUAAGGGGAUUUAAAAAGUUUCCGAAAGACAUUCUGACACGUCCCGACCCCGAUAUCCCCCGAAUAUCAGGAUAGGCACGUGCUGGCCGACACCUGAGGUGACGAAAGCCAUUUAUUGAAGUACAAGAGAAAUGAUUAGGAGAAACACGCACGAUUAAAUAUCUGAAUCCAAAGGGAGUUACAAACAAAGUUUAGGGAAAUAUCUAGAGUGCGCAAAACACGUUCGAAGUCAAGAUCACGAAAGGAAAGAUCAUUACAAAUAUUACACAAGUGGAAGAUAGACUGCUACUGGUAGGGGAAUGCCUCGUAUGAUGCCUCGUAGUCCUCGUUCCUAAGACCUGAAUGGGGGCACAAAACAAAGGUGAGUGGACCAAGCUUGUAUAUAUACAUAGUACAAAAACAGUUAUGAACAUACUAACCCCCACAAUUUAUAUAAUGAAAACUACUAGCAUAAUAAGUGAUAACUUUUCUGAAACCUCUAGCAUGCCAUAAAAAUAAUUCAUAUAUCCAUCUGCAAAUCAAUCUUAGAAAAUCAUAUCAGAAAUCAUCUCAGCAAUCAUAUCAGGAAGCAUAACACAAGUUGUGCUGCUAGUGAGUGCACUGAAUAACAAUACUCCCGGCCCAAUGCCUGCACCUUAGUCUCUGUGUCCGUAGCCAGAGAUAUCUCCCUCCCGGCCCAAUGCCUGUCUCCGUGUCCCUCAGCCUUUCGCUAGGGAUUAUUUCUCCCGGCCUCAAUGCCAACACCAGAUCCUCGCCCCAGGCGGCAUAAUGUUCACUAGGUACGCACAAAACAUAAUUCAUCUCUAAAAUACAACUUCGUAGCAUAAAUUCAUCGAUCCUCUAUACUACGAAGAGGUGUUCGAAAGUCAUUUGAAACACAUUCUUAGCAUCCUAUCGUCAUCGAUCAGAUAGUCUACCAGAAUGAGGGUUCUAUAGAAAAUACGAUAUAAUGGAAAUAGUUCAAAACAUAUAUAUAUAUAUAUAUAUAUAUAUAUAUAUAUAUAUAUAUAUAUAUAUAUAUAUAUAUAUAUAUAUAAUCACGUAUAAUCAAAUCAUCAUGCUUCCUGUAAAGUAUUCCUCAAAUCAAUAAUUCUGCAAGACAUCCUAUUAAAUUAUGCAAUUCUAUCAAUAAAACAUGCAAAUUUUCAAAGGUGGUCCACUCACAGAUACUCCGAAGCAGCAGAAUUGUGCGGAAAAUGAUUAAGGAAGUCUCCACUAGCAACUUCACCUAAGCAUGAAAAUGUACAAUUUAAUAAACUACCCAAAAGAUAGAAUUUUAGGAAAUGGAAAUGGGUUUUUGGGUUUGGGUAGGUUAGGAACAAGAUGGAGUUUGGGCUUAAGCCUAAACCCAUAAUCACAUGCACUGCACCCACACACACAGCAUGCAUAAGCAUGCACUGCACACACACACACACGGCAUGCAUACACACACAGGGCCUGCACACACACUGUGCAGUCCAAAACACACCCACACACUUCAUGCACAUCCCAACACACAACACAUACACUCGCACAGCAUACACACACACAUGUACAUAUGUAUUGCACCACACGUGCACAUACAUAUACAUAUAUAAACACACACACCGCAUGCACAUGCACAAAAUAUACAUAUACCCAUGCACACAUGUACAUAUGCACGACCACACACACACUUGCAUACACACACACACACACACAUGCAUAUAUAUAUAUAUAUACACAUGCUGUGCGUGUGUGUGUGUGUUUAUAUAUGUGUGUGUUUAUAUAUGUGUGUGUGUGUAUAUAUAUAUAUAUAUAUAUAUAUAUAUAUAUAUAUAAACACACACACUAUAAAUUAUUUGGAUCCAAUAUAUUUGAAUUAAUGUUCUGCUACAAUAGCAGCAGAACUUAUAUACAAGAUUAUUGCAGAGUCAUGCAAUAAACAAAGGGCAGAAAGUGGCAUCCAUGCUGUCCUUGUUGAAGCAGUCAGCAACCACAUGCAGUGGCAUUGCUGUCCACGUUAAUAGUGCAUCCACACAUGCGAAGGAAUGAUCAUAUUCCUUCUGUCCAGCGUGUGAGUAGAGCACCUUUAACACUCCCCCUCAAGUUGGAGUGUGGAUAUCAAUAACACCCAACUUGCCAAGAUGUGAAUGGAAGGUAGGUGCUCUCAGUGGCUUUGUAAACAUGUCUGCUAUUUGACGUCCCGUCUGCACAUGAGACGUCUCGAUCUCUCCCCUCUGAAUCCUUUCACGGACAGGAUGAUUUACACGCAAAUCAUUCAACAAAUUCCUCAGCCAAGUAAGCUCACAAGUGGUUGCAGCCAUGGAGCGAUACUCGGCUUCUGCUGAAGAUCUUGCCACCGUGACUUGCUUUUUACUUUUCCACGAUACAAGUGAUUUACCAAGGAAGAUGCAAAAACCUGUCACUGAUCGUCGUGUGAUCGGACAUCUAGCCCAAUCCGCAUCACAGUAGCCAAUCAAAUUAAGUUGGUUCUCCGUAGGAAAUAGUAACCCUUGUCCUGGUGCUUCUUUCAGAUAUUGAAGGAGACGAUGUGCUGCUUUAAGGUGAUGGAGUGUUGGUUCUUGCAAGAACUGACUGAGAUUAUUCACUGCAUACGUAAUAUCUGGCCUGGUGAUGGUAAGGUAUAUUAAUUUUCCAACCAAACGUCGAUAUCGAGUCGGAUCCUUGAGGGCAUCACCACCUGUUGUUGUCAACACUAAAUCGGGUUCCAUAGGUACCUUGGCAGGUUUUACGCCAAGCAAGCCAGCUUCCUCCAAUAUGUCCAGAGUAUACUUUCGUUGGCAAAUGGAGAUCCCAGCUUUGGACCGUGCAACUUCGACACCCAGAAAAUAUUUUAAUGGUCCGAGGUCUUUAAUUCGAAAACAUCCACUAAGAAAUUGCUUGAGUUGACUGAUGGCUUCCUCAUUAUUUCCUGCAAUGAUCAUGUCGUCAACGUAGAGCAAUACUACAGUAAUGGAGUGUCCACAAACUUUAGUGAAUAAUGAGUAGUCUGCAUGAGACUGUUGAAAGCCAACUUCUUGAAUGGUUGAUGAAAAACGUUGGAACCAGCUGCGAGAUGCCUGCUUGAGUCCGUAUAAUGACUUGUGAAGUCGACAAACCAUAGUCUCCCCCUGUCGACGAUAACCAGGAGGUGGUAACAUAUAUACUUCCUCAUGGAGUGCACCGUGAAGGAAAGCGUUUUGGACAUCCAUUUGGUGAAGAGACCAGUUGCGAACAGCAGCAAUGGUCAAGAGACAGCGGACAGUAAUGAGUUUAGCAACGGGGGUGAACGUCUCUUUGUAAUCAAUACCUUCGCGCUGCGUGAACCCUUUGGCGACAAGGCGAGCCUUGUAGCGUUCGAUGGAACCGUCGGAAUGAUACUUGAUUUUGAAGACCCAUUUACAUCCAAUGGGGCGUUGGUGGAGGGGUAAAGGAACCAAAGUCCAGGUGUGAUUGGCUUCAAGUGCUUUAAGCUCAGAAUGCAUAGCUGCAAGCCAGUGAGGGUCAUGGCGUGCCUGCUCAUAGGAGGCUGGUUCAACUAAGUGAGAGACAUUGUGAAUAAAUGAACGAUGAGCAUGAGAGAGUCGAGCAUAAGAAACAUACCUGUGAAGAGGAUAUCGUGUGCCGAACAUGGUGGAAGAGAUGGCAUUGGACUGAAGCAAAGCAGCAUGAUGGGUCUAAUAGUCACGAAGGUGGGCAGGGGGUUGUUUAAUGCGUGCUGAUCGACGAAGGGGAGUGAGGGGCAGCGAAGGAGACGAUGGUGCAGGAGGUGGCGAGGUAGGAGUGUCUGGGGUUGGAGGAAGUAUGUUAGGAGUAAGGUCGUCAGGAAGGGAGGGAAUGAGGUCUGAAGGUGCAGGAGUAGGGUCAUCAAGAGGAACAGGUAAGACCGGGGUAGUGUGGGCAGGUUCUGGUGGUAAGUUAGCAAGAGGGAAAAAAUGUUCAUGGAAGAUGAUAUCUCGAGAGGUAAAGAUACGCUUGCUAUCAAGGUCGUAAACGCGAUAGCCCUUCUGACCAAGGGGAUAUCCCAGGAAAAUGCAGCGACGAGCACGAGCAUCAAAUUUGUGUGAGGGAGUGAGGUUGGUAGCAUAGCAUAAACACCCAAAAACUCGGAGGUGAGUGUAGACAGGUAGUGUCCCAUGCAAAAGUUUAUAGGGAGAUUGAUGGGAAAGCAGAGGUGUUGGGAGGCGGUUGAUAAGGUAACAGGCAAUUUGUACACUCUCCCCCCAGAAUUUUAAGGGUAGGUUAGCUUGGAAUCGUAAGGCUCGGGCAACAUUUAAAAGGUGACGGUGUUUGCGUUCAACGACUCCGUUCUGUUGAGGGGUGUGAGCACAGGUGUGUUGAAAAAGAGUGCCAUGAGUAUCUAAGAAGGAUCGUAGAGAUAUGAAUUCCCCCCCAUUGUCUGCACGAAGGAUUUUAAUGUCACGGUUAAACUGUGUUUUCACCCAAGAAAAGAACGAUUGGAUUAUGGUUUGUGUGUCAGAUUUAAAUCGCAUGAGAUGAACCCAUGUGAAUCGAGUGAAGUCGUCUACAAUGGUGAGGAAGUAACGUGCUCCAGAGGGUGUAUGUGUGUGGUGCGGCCCCCAAAUAUCACAGUGGAUCAAAUCAAAAGGUGCAAUUGAUUUUAUUGAACUGGAAACAAAUGAUGAACGAGUUUGCUUUGCUAAGGGACAAAUAUCACAAACAUGUGUAGAAUGAAAAAUACUUUCUGGAAUGGUCUGGGAUAAAGAGUGAAGAGGAGCCGAGGAUGGGUGCCCAAGACGUUGGUGCCACAGUGUCGAGGUAUGGUUGACAUGGUUGGCGAGAUGAGGGUUUUGUGUAGGAGUGAGGUAGUAGAGGCCAUUAAACUGCUUGCCCAGGCCAAUCAUCUUCUUUGUAGCCAUGUCCUGCACAACACAAAAACCCGGGUAGAAAAUCACAAUACAUUUCAAUGCCCAAGUUAAUUUGCUCACAGACAAUAGGUACGUGCAAAACUCUAUGAAGGGUGAUAGUGGGUGACAGUUUAAUAGACCCAAUGGAUUCAAUCGCAGCCUGUCCACCAUUUGGUAACCCAACAAAAUCAUGUUGGGGUCUAGUGUGAUUAUGGAUGGGUGACGAGUGAGAAAUAUGAUCUGUGGCUCCGCUAUCUACGAUCCAACAGGUUGUUGAAUGCGGAGAAUGUUGUGUAAAGUUGCAGUUGGGCGUAUAGAUACAUGUUGCAUGUGCAAGCGGCAGAUUGGUACCAUUCUUAUUGCGAAUGAGGGCCAUGAGUUGAUGAUAUUCCUCGGUUGUGAACGUUGGUUGAUUGCUGGAGAUGGGUACUUUGGUUGCGUCAAUCUGAGCAGUUGUCAAUGGGAGCGUUUCAACAUUGUUGGAGGCUGGAGGUGUACGCCUAUUUCUGGGCUGCACAUUCUUUCCGUGCCAUUUGUGUCCUUCAGGGAAGCCAAUAAGAAAAAAAUAACGUUCAACUGGAUGUCCUCCGUCACAGUAGCUGCAUUUGAAAGUCUUUCGUGAACUAGGGUUGUGGGUGCCAUAGCCUCAUUUUGGUGCUGUUGAACGACUGGAUUGCAUUGCAUGGGUAGUGGGUUCACGACGAUUCACCACAUCCAAUUGGCGUUCGUGUUGGAGAACCAAUCCAUGGACUCGUCGUGUAUCCGGGAGUGGGCUCAUCAUCAAUAUAGAGCCUCGUAUGGUGGAGUAGUUAUGUUCAGUCCCAUUAAGAACUGCAUGACUCUCUCUUUUUCUUCCCUGUUUGCAUGCGCCUUGGAUCCUUCGCAUUCACAAGCAAUGGGCUCAUGGUAUGAUGCUAAUUCAUCCCAAAGAGCUUUUAAUUUUGUGUAAUAAUCUGAAACAGAUAGUUGUCCUUGUCGGUGUUUGACAAUUUCUUGUCGGAUUUGAUAGAUCCUGGAAUCGUUGCCUUGCGAGAAUCGAUCCUCAAGAUCCCUCCAUGCUGCUGUCGCAGUUUUGCAGUAGAGUAUAUUGUGAGCAAUGUUGCCUUGUACAGAUUGCCAAAUCCAAGAUAAGACCAUGUCGUUGCAUCUCUGCCAAAUUGAAUAUUUAGCAUCAGUGGUUGCAGGGUUCUUGAUUGAACCAUCAACAAACCCUAGCUUAUUUUUGGCGCUGAGAGCAAUUCGCAUGGAGCGGCUCCAUUGUCCAUAGUUGUGUCCAUCGAGAAGUUGUGAGACUAAAACAAGACUUGGUGAGUCUGAAUGAUGUAGAAUGAGAGGAUCAGAUACAUGAGGUAUCAUCUGGUCGUCCAUGGUGGCUGGGUUUGAUGAAGAGAAACUGGUUGUGUUUGUGGCGGAAGCAAAAAUGAGCCUUCCAGAGUCACCAAGAUCGGUGCUCUGAUACCAUAUAAAUUAUUUGGAUCCAAUAUAUUUGAAUUAAUGUUCUGCUACAAUAGCAGCAGAACUUAUAUACAAGAUUAUUGCAGAGUCAUGCAAUAAACAAAGGGCAGAAAGUGGCAUCCAUGCUGUCCUUGUUGAAGCAGUCAGCAACCACAUGCAGUGGCAUUGCUGUCCACGUUAAUAGUGCAUCCACACAUGCGAAGGAAUGAUCAUAUUCCUUCUGUCCAGCGUGUGAGUAGAGCACCUUUAACACACACACAACACACCAUACACGUGCACACACAUGCAUGCACUACACCACACACAUGCAUGCACACACACCGUACAUUCACACGCAUACACACACUCACCCCCACAACACACAUACAUAUACUUACACACCACACACACAUACGUGCACUACAUACACACACAACUACACCCCGUACACACUGCACAAACACAUACUCACGAACUCGCCGGAGUUCGUCGUCGGAACCGGACAUGCAUGCACAAGGGAUGGCAAGGGUUUGGGCUUGAAUAAAGGGUUCUAAAACUUCAGAAAUAUACAUAAGAACUUACCCAGAAAUUUGAAGAAGGAACACCAUUCUCACCUGGGUUCGAGUUUUAGAAAAACCCACGGUGCUCAGAUGGCGCAUGCAAGGGUACCAUUGAGUUCGUUAGGUCUUAAUGAUUCCAAAUCGAUGGUUUUUGGGGUUUGAUUUGUGAAGGAAGUGAGGUGAAAGUUAGAGAGAAGCUCUCGGAGCUUGGACAGUGAGAGAGAGAGAGAGAGAAGAAACUGAAAAAAAAAAUAAACAAAAGAGAAAGGUUCUGUGAUGGGGAGUGUUUCGGGAAUAGAGGGAAGAAGGGAGAGAUAUGAGAGCUGCCACAUGGCAGUCUAAGAGAGACAACAUUUCUAGAUCAAGGGUUAGGAUUAAAAGAGAAUAAGGGACUAAAUUGAUAGAUAACAAAUAUGUUCUAGGGGAAAAAUAGAAAUAGGAUGAAAAAUGGGGGUGGAGUUUAACACAUUCUUCAACACACUUCUUAGUGUGUUUUGGAUAAAGGGCUGGCUUCUCCAUAAUCUUGACACCUUGGAGUCGAAGUACGAAUCGUGCUGUCAGCUGCUUUGAAGAGGAUGAGUUUUUUUCCUGUUGGCGAGUGCCUUCCUUUUGCCAAAAAAAAUUACCGAGUUAUAGUACGAGGAACAAGAUUGGAAGAACUUUCCCAUUUUUCCAUGAAAUAUGCGACUCCAAUCCUUGAAGAAGACAUCUAAGACUUGCCAAAACAUCGUCACCAUCACCCUUGUGUUAUUGGCACUUCAAAAGCGAAGAAAGAACACCCCAAACCCCUCUCUUCCAUUCGUAUGGUACUGUUCAUCGUCUUCCUUGAUGAGUUUCUUGAUUUUCCAACGUUGGUAAGCUUCUAAAAACCCUUGGGAAGUGUUUUAGGGUUAGAUUGAAGCUUUUUUUAAGUUGUAUAUACAUUUGAAUCACAGCAAAUAGCUUGAGGAAGCUUUUCCAAAUUUUCUGGCGAGCACCGCCCCUUUCGAGACAAUUUCCGGCCAAACCACGGCGAGUUAGACGUCGUACGAACUCUUCUUCUCUUCGAGGGAUACAACUUUCAUUUUUUAAUCACUCGAUUUCGUUGAGUUUUGACAAAGUUAUGAACGUUUAAAGCUAAGGAACUUUUCGGCCGAAUUCCGACCUUCUCUUUCAAAUGGGUCCGGCGACCCACAAUUGGAACUCGGGCUGGGCUUUCAAGACCCAAAGCCCUUUCGAACCAGGCCUUUGGGCCGUUGAGCCUAAGCCCAAAACCUUAAGGCAACCCAAUCUUUUUAUUUUGUUAUUUAUUUUAUUUGUUUAUUUUCUGUUAGAAACCCAAAGGCCCUUGGGCCAUUCAGUUAGGGCCUUAGGCCCGUGGACUCUUUUAACCCUUAAAACUCUAAGCCCUUUUUCCCUUAAACCCCAACCCAAAUCCUUUUGUUUUUAUUUAUAUUAAUUGUUUGAAACUAAACCCAAACUCUUAAAGUCCAACCAUUUCAUCAAACGACUAUAAUUAUUAUAACUUAAAGGGACUCAUCUAUUUGUAGCCGUUGGAUUUUCAUCCAACGGCUCACGUGUGUUGGUUAGGAGGAUCUUCUCCUUGGGCUUAGGAGAGGAUCCAAAUCCCAUGAAGACCAUGCAUCCUGACAAUUCUGAUCAACCCCCACGCUACUCCAAUUCGAUGACAAGAAUCCCAAGCCCAAGUGCAUGCUUGGAGAUAUAAUUUGCAUUCUAUUGAUUAUCCAAUAUGAGAAAAUAUCAAGAUAAUUCAUAUUAAAAGAUAAUAUUAUAAUUGAAAAUAAUAAUAUUGGGAAUUGUUAUUAACACUCCAAAAAUCUCAUUCUACACUUCAAACUUUCUAUAUUGGGAAAGAAAAAUACACUUGUGAGGAGUUUAGAAUAAGAUUUUUGGAGUGCCAAUAGCACUUCCCAUAAUAUUAUCUCUUAACAAUAAUAAAUUAUCUUAGCAUUCCAAUCCAAUUAACGAUUCAAAAUUUUGCACACUCAACGGUCUCGACUGCUCAGGUCGAUGAUGCAAAAUCGAGUACAAACAAUAUCAUAAAAAGUUUAAAAACUUUUAGAUACUAAGUUUUGGGGGAAUACAUAAAUGGACGGAGAAGAUAAUUUUUCAUUUUUCAUAAGUCUCCAUCACUCGAAGACUUGUAGUCUUUGUUUGAUCAUGGAGAGCUGGUUUCCAUCUUUUCCCAAUUCUGUAUGUUUUCUAUCUUUUCCCAUUUCUGUCCUACUCCUGCCCCACUGAGAACAUGAACUUCAGAUUUGACAGCACCUGUAUCCGUCCUCUAAUUUGGAUUCACUUUCCACAUUUUCCAGCUACUAUGGAGGUUAAAGUGAAGACGACAUUCGAACUCUGAUCAGAUGCAAAAGUAAAUGCUGGAAGGCUUCAUUACCAUUCUUUGUACUUUGCUUGUCCUUUGUUAAUGUACCUUUCUGUAAGUUACUUAGUUGGCGCUAUUGUUGAAUUUUGACUCGUACACGUGAAUGGUCAGCAAACGUGCGAGUCAUGCUCAUACUUACGUAGUCUUUUUGGUUUGGAAGAUUCAAAUAUGUCACGUUAUAUAAUCGAACCUAGAACCUAGAGUGUAGUGGUAAAUAUUCUUAACUACUUAAAUUACAAGUUCUUUGCUGGUUUGGGACAUUUAUAAGUGCUUAAGUAGAAUUGUGAAAUGGGUGAGGGACAAGACUAGGAUGAAAAGAGAUUCGAGAGAGACGCAGCCCAUUGUUAAUAACAUCAAUAUUGCCCCAACUUGCUUCGCCUUACCACCUAUUAGCAGAGUAGGUAUGAAGUUUUAUCUCAAAAGAUCUUGGUGCCGUUACGUAAAGAACUUAUUCAAUAUUAUAAUUUUCUCAAUUUUCCAAAAGAGAAUUCCUACAUUUUGAACAUGUAAUCCGGCCACGACAUCUGUAGGGUCGGAUAAAUUUUUAUGUGCGAUCGUAGGGGUCAUAUCGUGGCUGCUGAUGGUUAACAUUGACUUGGAAAAGAAAUGUGGUACACACAUCUAAUUCCAGGAAGAAACUUGAGACAAAGACAUGCAUGGAGAUUAGUCAAGCCUAAACUAUGGUACACAUGCAUUUCCAUCAAGAAAUUUCAAGGAAACAAUGCUUCAUUGAUAUAUAUAUUGCUAAUUAAGCUAGGUCGAAAUAUUGGUGCAUUUGCAAUGGCAAUGACUUUUCCUGUACGGAUGCUUUUGUUCACCUCAUUGUUUUUGCUACCAAUUUCUGUGUUUUCCCAAAAUAAUGGAAGAGUAGCAGUUGGAGAUUCUCUAACUGCAACUACAGGUGACUCCUCAUCAUGGCUUUAUCCAUCCGGUGAUUUCGCAUUUGGAUUUAAGCCCCUCGGAAACAAUGAUCGUUUCUUGCUUUCUAUAUGGUAUGCGAAAAUCCCAGAAACCGUAGUUUGGUAUAACAGCCCCGUGGUUACACCUUGGGGAUCAAUUUUGAACUUGACUGCCGACAGUGGACUAGUUCUUAACAAUCCUCAGGGUGGAGAGAUAUGGAAAUCCCCUAUAACUUCCGGGGUUGUUGCGAACGUGGUCAUGAAUGACACUGGAAACUUCGUCCUUCAAGAUGAAAACUCGGGGAGCUUAUGGGAGACCUUCAACAAUCCUACAGACACCGUUUUGCCUGGACAGACAAUUGAGAGAAAAGGGAAGCUUUCGUGUAAGCAAUCGGAGGCUAAUUACGAAAAAGGGCGGUUCCAGCUGCGCUUGCAAGAUGAUGGAAACCUCGUGCUCAACACCGUAAACUUGCCCACAGAUUAUGCCAACAAAGCCUUACUAUGCCACAGGCACAUUCUCGGGGGCUGAGGAUGGUAGUAAAGGUAAACAAUUGGUGUUCAACAGCUCAGGGGACAUGUUUGUUCUGACAGAAAAUGGGGGAAUACACACUCUCACAGGGACACAGGGAGUCUCGGUGAGGGACAACUACAUAAGGGCAACUCUUGAUUUUGAUGGGAUUUUCGCACUAUAUUCUCACCCGAAAAAUUUCACUGGAAAUGCAAGCUGGAGGAGUCCCCUGUGGUAUAAGCCGGAUGAUAUUUGCCAAGCACUUUUGGAAGACGAGGGCGUUGGUGUCUGCGGAUACAACAGUGUCUGUAAGAUCAACCCAGACAAAAGGCCAACCUGCGAUUGCCCAAAAGGAUUUUCGUUUUCUUGAUCCCAAGGACAAAUACCGAAGGCUGUAAACCCGAUUUUAUACAAGGCUGUGAAGAAGAUAAGCUACAAAGUCCUAGAAAAGAUUUGUAUGAUGUCGAAGUGCUGACAGAUACUGAUUGGCCAACCUCAGAUUAUGUGCAGCUGAAGCCUUUUACCGCGGACAAGUGCAAUGAAUCUUGCUUUCAAGACUGUUUGUGCGCUGUUGCUGUUUUCAGGCUUGAUACCUGCUGGAAAAAGAAGUUACCUCUGUCAAACGGGAGAGUGGACGAAAAUCUUAAUUCACAGACCUUCAUCAAAGUCCGAAAGGAUAAUGUAAAUCUGCAGUUUCCUCCAAUGCCAAUUCCAGAUGAUAAAGAGAAGAGCAAGACCAAACUGAUACAUGUGGUAUCAGCACUAUUAGGUAUGACACGCCCCGACCCUGAUAUUUCCCCGAAUAUCAGGGUAGGCACGUGCUGGCCGACACCCGAGGGUGACGAAAGCCAUUAAUUGAUACAAAAGCUAGGAAUAAGAAAUAAAUACGGGUUAUGAAUUUAAAAACAAUGAAUUAACAAUUUAGGAACGUGUUCAGAGCAUACAACUAAACAUAGUCACUAACAAGAAUUAAGAUAAGAUUGAAUGAACAAGGAGUAGGUCCUACCCCGAGAGGACUCGAAGAUGCUGCUGCGGAAGUGCCUUGACGCCGGGAUCAUGUGCCUUGAUCCUAAAUCCUGAAUGGGGGCGCAAAACAAGGGUGAGUGGACCAAGUUUAUAUACAUACAUAGUACGAAAACAGUUACAAACAUACUAACCCCCACAGUUUAAUAAUGAAAACUACUAGAAUAAUAAGUGAUAAGCUUUUCAGAAAAACUCUAGCAUGCCAUAAAACAAUUCAUAAUAUCCAUCUGCAAAUCAAUCUCAGAAAAUCAUAUCAGAAAUCGUAUCAGGAAGCAUAACACAAGUUGUGCUGCUAGUGAGUGCACUGAAUAAUAAUACUCCCGGCCCAAUGCCUGCACCUCAGUCUCUGUGCCCGUAGCCAGAGAUAUCUCCCUCCCGGCCCAAUGCCUGUCUCCGUGUCCCUCAGCCUUUCGCUAGGGAUUAUUUCUCCCGGCCUCAAUGCCAACACCAGAUCCUCGCCCCAGGCGGCAUAGUGUUCACUAGGUACGCACAAAACAUAAUUCAUCUCUAAAAUACAACUUCGUAGCAUAAAUUCAUCGAUCCUCUAUACUACGAAGAGGUGUUCGAAAGUCAUUUGAAACACGUUCUUAGCAUCCUAUCGUCAUCGAUCAGAUAGUCUACCAGAAUGAGGGUUCUAUAGAAAAUACGAUAUAAUGGAAUUAGUUCAAAACAUAUAUAUAUAAUCACGUAUAAUCAAAUCAUCAUGCUUCCUGUAAAGUAUUCCUCAAAUCAAUAAUUCUGCAAGGCAUGCUAUUUAUAUAUGCAAUUCUAUAAAUAAAACAUGCAAUUUUUGAAGGUGGUCCACUCACAGAUACUCCGAAGCAGCAGAAUUGUGUGGAAAACGAUUAAGGAAGUCUCCACUAGCAACUUCACCUAAGCACGAAAAUGUACAAUUUAAUAAACUACCUAAAAGAUAGAAUUUUAGGAAAUGGAAAUGGGUUUUGGGUUUGGGUAGGUUAGGAUCAAGAGGUGGUUUGGGCUUGAGCCCAACCCAUACUUAUACACACACGGCACACACACCACACAUUCACACACAUACAUACACAACACAUACUCACACAGCUGCACCGCAUAACGCACACACUGUACACUUCAUACAAUACACAAACAUACACAACACACACGUGCACCAUACACCAUCACACUUACUCUCACACACACACACACUUGCACGGACACCAACAUGCCAAACACACACACAGACAGCAUGCACAUAUAUAUAUAUAUAUAUAUAUAUACAAAUAUACACACAGAGGCAACAUGCAUAUAUAUAUAUAUAUAUAUAUAUAUAUAUAUAUAUAUAUAUAUAGAUACAUACAUAUAAACACACACGCAUGCACAGCAUGCAUAUAUAUAUAAGCACACACACGCACAGCAUCAUGCAUAUAUAUAUAUAUAUAUAAUCACACACACGCACAGUAAGCAUACUUACACACACACACACACGGUUCACGCACACACACUUGCACAACGUAUACACUGCACAAACGCACACUCACGAACUCGCCGGAGUUCGUCGUCGGAACCGGACAUGCAUGCACAAGGGAUGGUAAGAGUUAGGGCUUGAAUAAGGGGUUCUAAAACUUCACAAAUAUACCUAAGAACUCACCUAGACGCACUGCAGCAGGUUUUGGGAAGAAAUGGACCUCGAACUCGUCGGAGCUAGAUUAUUGACACAGAGAAAAACUGAGCUCAAAACCCUUGAGUUUUGUCAUAAAAACAACAUGCAUAACCCAGAAAUUUGAAGAAGGAACACAAUCUUUACCUGGGUUCGAGUUUUAGAGCUUUGAAGCUCUCGGCUUCAAUGGCAGAAAAACCCACGGUGCUCAGAUGGCGCAUGCAAGGGUACCAUUGAGUUCGUUAGGUCUCAAGGAUUCCAAAUAUAUGGUUUUUGGGGUUUGAUUUGUGAAGGAAGUGAGGUGAAAGUUAGAGAGAAGCUCUCGGAGCUUAGAGAGUGUGAGAGUUUUUGAGAGUUAGAGAGAGAGAGAGAAACACAAAAAGAGAGGUUCUGAGAUGUGUUUCGGGAAGAGAGGGAAGAAGGGAGAGAUCUGAGAGCUGCCACAUGGCAGUCUAAGAGAGACAACAUUUCUAGAUCAAAGGUUAGGAUUAAAAGAGAAUAAGGGACUAAAUUGAUAGAUAACAAAUAUGUUCUAGGGGAAAAAUAGAAAUAGGAUGAAAAUGGGGGUGGGGUUUAACAAGGUACCUCCAUCUUUGUUAAUGUUGCUGCUCUCUGCCUCGGUUUUUUAUUCAUAUUCCGGAAGAAACCUGUAAGAUCUAGUACCGAUAUUGUUUUCGACUCGAAUUUGCGCUCUUUUAGCUAUGAAGAGCUACAAGAAGCUACAAAUGGAUUCAAGGAAGAAUUAGGAAAGGGUGCUUUUGGAGUGGUUUUCAAAGGGGUGAUGCAAAUUGGUUUUGGUGUCGAAGUGGCGGUGAAGAAGCUACGCUAUGUUAUGCAAGAUGUCGAGAAGGAGUUUAAAACAGAACUGAAUGUAAUUGGUAAGACGCAUCAUAAGAAUCUGGUUCGUCUUUUCGGAUAUUGUGACGAGGGGCAACAGAGAAUGGUAGUUUAUGAGUUCUUGAGCAAUGGCACACUGGCAAGCUUUCUUUUUUCAGAUAUCAAACCAAGUUGGAAACAGCGAAUUGAAAUCGCUUAUGGCAUUGCGAAAGGGCUUUUGUACUUGCAUGAAGAGUGCAGCACGCAGAUUAUCCAUUGUGACAUAAAGCCACAGAACAUACUUCUCGAUGAUUAUUACACUCCUCGGAUUCUGAUUUUGGAUUAGCAAAACUUUUGAUGAUGAAUCAGAGCCAGACUCAUACCGCUAUCCGAGGAACAAAAGGUUAUGUUGCACCUGAGUGGUUCAGGAACUUGGCAAUCACUACCAAAGUUGAUGUGUACAGCUUUGGUGUUGUGCUGCUGGAGAUUAUUUGUUGUAGGAGAAAUGUUGAUGUGGAAGGUAACUUGGAAGAGAGAGCAAUUUUAACGGAUUGGGU
rnacentral:lncRNA from 1 species